ACGAAAGAAACAGGACUCUGUCUCGGUAAUAAAGCGUAGAAACAACAUGUUUGGUGUUCCUCUUUGUUCCAUCGGGCUGCUACUUAUUGCCCUCAUUCACACCGCUGUAACCAAAGACCACCUCGUGAUGGGGGGAGUGGGUCACACAGUUAGCCUGCCAUGUCUCUCGUCUUUGGAGGGAUCCUGCUCAGACAUACGAUGGUUUCAUGAGACAAAAAGUGGUGCAACCCUUAUCGCUAGUAUCUCCAGAAGAGAAGACGCAAACACUGGUAGAUUUAACAUUGUGUCUAAUUGUUCCUUACACAUCAACAACAUCACCGAAGUGGAUGUCGGAAUAUAUUGGUGCAGUAAAGAUCAGGAUGACUUGCAAUAUCUGUCUCUUAUCACUGUUUCCUCCCAGCUGAGGUCUCGAAUGUUCCCCGGAGCCAACGUUACCUUAAGCUGUAAUCUGGUCACGUUCAAGGGGCCUGGUAGGUGUUUCAGCCCUCUGUAUCAAGGUAUGUCUCUCAAGUGGCAGGAUGAUAAUCGACCGGACUACAUCCUCGCCAAACAGAGGAUCAGCAGAUGUACUGUCCAGCUGAAUGUCAUCCUUCAGCCGGACAGCCGCUUCAGCUGCCUGGCUUUGGUCAACCGCCAGGUCAAGAACAGGGUGGAGUUCCCCGUCCGUAUCCGAGUUGAGGGAAGAGGCCUUCCCAUGCCUUACUCAGAAAACGACGAUCAAGGUCAUGAUGGGGGAUCCAAUGUAGCUGACGGGGACGGUGGCAACAGCGAGGUGAUCGGCCGAGUCAUCGCCGUGACAGUAGUGAGCUGUGCCAUGACGGUGGUGCUGGUUCUGAUCCUAGCGAAGAAGAAGAGGAAGCCAAAUGACCAGCUUGUAGCACAUCCAGAGACUCCCCUGGACGUUAAUACUGUAAUAAAUACUGAUGCGGCCGCCACUGCAGAGGAUGUCACCCAUGCUGACAUAACGGUUGCAGGCGUUGCGGACAGGAAGUGGGAGACAGAGAGUGAAGCCCCUGUUUACACAAACAUAGAACCGACCGCUCACAACAAUGUUUGAUUGGCAUUACCUGGUAACCCAAAACGGCCAAAAGCAGAUUACUCAUACAACACCAUCGACUACCCAGAGGGCCAAUUGAGUCCAUGUUUACAUCUUAUCCUACGUUUUUAAAACUGCAUGUAUGACGUGCUAUGGUCCAUGAUCAGUCUUUACCACUAUGAUGUAACCCACUACAUCACUUUUCAUCUAAAAUAAUUUGUUUUAGGAUCUGGUUUUCCUUCAAACAACAGAUAGCUCACAGGAUUCAUGUACUUUAUUUUGUACUCUGGGUGUAGCAUUUUUGAGUAGCAUCCAGCUGCAGCCUGUGGUGUGGCAAAGGGCCUUUGCUUUUCAACGUCCAUUUUUCUGUUAAAUUUCAAUGUUUAUGUUUAUAUAAAAAUAUACAUUGUAUAAUUGUUUUGCUUGUUAUUUGCGUGUGUUGCCUACGAAAUAUGAACACAAAAGAUUACCGUGUGGGACAUUACAAUUGAAAGAAGGAGUUUUAAUGGGAAAAAACAAUUAUUUGUUAAGUUUUGGGAGAAUAACCAAAGGUUGAAAAAAUAUAACAAAUAUGCAAAUAUUGCAAAAUAGGAAAUAACUUUACUUAUUCAAUGGAUCUACUCAAUCUAUAAAUAAAAAUGCAUUCCACACCGUCAUUGAGAUACUUUCCGUUGCUCUUUAUUCAGCGAUAUGACGUACUAAUAUACUAUGAGCAUGUUAGGGAAGUAACCCUGGGACCUAACAAAUAAGGAGGUAAUGCCAAGUCUGGGGUCAGAGAAUGUUGGCAAAUUCAGGAAGCUGUCUCUGUGUUGGCUAAGACUACAUCUUACCGAACACGAAAGAAACAGGACUCUGUCUCGGUAAUAAAGCGUAGAAACAACAUGUUUGGUGUUUCUCUUUGUUCCAUCGGGCUGCUACUUAUUGCCCCCAUUCACACCGCUGUAACCAAACACAACCUCGUGAUGGGGGGAGUGGGUCACACAGUUAGCCUGCCCUGCGUCUCUCCUUUGGAGGGAUCCUGCUCAGACAUACGAUGGUUUCAUAACACAAAAAGUGGUACAACCCUUAUCGCUAGUAUCUCCAGAAGAGAAGACGCAAACACUGGUAGAUUUAACAUGUGAGUAAUGCCCAUGGGCCUGUAGAUUGUAUGUUUACUUUGAAUGUGCAGGGUAAGUAGAUGUCUUCUGAAGCGGUGGUAUGGGUCUUGAACCCACAGGGAGGGAUUGUGCUGCAGGUGUGUUGAAAGCUGUAUUACUCGUUAACAAUCUCAGACACAUAUUGCCCAAACUGCACCAUGCAAAAAAAAGCAUUUGAUGUUUUGGGUUGUUUUGGUUCUUUCAGUUUCCUCCCAGCUGAGGUCUCGAAUGUUCCCCGGAGCCAACGUUACCUUAAGCUGUAGUCUGGUCACGUUCGAGAGGCCUGGUUGGUGUUUCAGCCCUCUGUAUCAAGGUAUGUCUCUCAAGUGGCAGGAUGAUAAUCGACCAAAACUACAUCCUCGCCGAACAGAGGAUCAGCAGAUGUACUGUCCAGCUGAAUGUCAUCCUUCAGCCGGACAGCCGCUUCAGCUGCCUGGCUUUGGUCAACCGCCAGGUCCAGAACAGGGUGGAGUUCCCCGUCCGUAUCAGAGUUGAGGGAAGAGGCCUUCCCAUGCCUUACUUAGAAAACGACGAUCAAGGUCAUGAUGGGGGAUCCAAUGUAGCUG